GAUGAAGAACGUAGCGAAAUGCGAUACGUAAUGUGAAUUGCAGAAUUCAGUGAAUCAUCGAGUCUUUGAACGCACAUUGCGCCCCCUGGUAUUCCGGGGGGCAUGCCUGUCCGAGCGUCAUUUCUGCCCUCAAGCACGGCUUGUGUGUUGGGCCUCCGUCCUCCUCCCGGGGGACGGGCCCGAAAGGCAGCGGCGGCACCGCGUCCGGUCCUCGAGCGUAUGGGGCUUCGUCACCCGCUCUUGUAGGCCCGGCCGGCGCUUGCCGACACAUCAAUCUUUUUUCCAGGUUGACCUCGGAUCAGGUAGGGAUACCCGCUGAACUUAAGCAUAUCAAUAAGCGGAGGA
rnacentral:misc_RNA from 1 species